CGUUAGUAGUAGCAGGAAGGUUAUUAGGGAUAAGCUUAAUAUCUAAUAUUUAUAUAGAUUAGGGGUUUAGAGUACCUAAGGAAUAACAGUGUCUAUUGGUUUUGUAACUGAUUAGAGCCUAACUUUAUUAAUGGAUUAUACGAGGGUAGCUUGAAAUCUUUUUUGUUAGUAAUAAUGGUAGAAUUAGUAGAUUAGAUCUUAGUCUGUAACUUAGGUGUUUUAAUUGGGGUAGGUUAACUCUUAGCUUUUGGUAAGGAACUCGGCAAAAAUUUUUCUUAACUGUUUAUCAAAAACAUUUCUUUAAGGGUGGAUUUAAAGUAUAUUCUGCCCCCUGAUUUAUCUAUUAAAGGGCCGCAGUAGCCUGACUGUGCUAAGGUAGCAUAAUCAUUAGGUUCUUAAUUGGGAUCUGGAAUGAAUGAAUGAAUAAGGAGAAGCUGUCUAUCAAUAGGGUUUGAAGUUAAAUUUUUAGUAAGAAUGCUAGAAUGAGUUAGUGGGACGAUAAGACCCUAUAAAGCUUUACUAGCUUUUAGUGAAAAAUUUUACUACUUUUACUACUAAGNUUAGUUUUACUGGGGCGGUAGCUAAUCAACUUAGUUGAUUUUCUUUACUUGUGGAUCCACCUUUGGUGAAGUAAGAUUAAGUUACUUUAGGGAUAACAGCAUGAUAUACCCAUGGAGUUCUAAUCGAAGGGUAUGAUUGUGACCUCGAUGUUGAAUUAACCUCAUUGUAAGGUGUAGAAGCUUUAUGAGUUAGUCUGUUCGACUAUUGAAGGGUUACGUGAUUUGAGUUCAAACCGGUUUAAGCCAGGUUGGUUUCUAUCUACUGAUUUUUAAAAAGCUUUUUAGUACGAAAGGACCAAAGGCCUUAGAGGUUUCUAGUUUAGAUGUGUAUUAGCUGAUUUUAGGUAUGAU
rnacentral:rRNA from 1 species